AGCCUGAAGCGGAAGUGGAGGAAAGAUGGAGGGUGGUGGUUGGGACCGUGAAAUGAGCGCGCGAGUGAUUGGCUGGUGGACAGAAGGCACUGCAGCCUGAAAUGGCAGAGUCUGGUGCUGACGAUCCGCGAGAAGAUCAAUGCUGCCAUCCAGGAUAUGCCAGAGAGCGAAGAGAUCGCCCAGCUGCUGUCUGGGUCCUACAUUCACUACUUUCACUGCCUAAGAAUCCUGGACCUUCUCAAAGGCACAGAGGCCUCCACGAAAAAUAUUUUUGGCCGAUACUCUUCACAGCGGAUGAAGGAUUGGCAGGAGAUUAUAGCCCUGUAUGAGAAGGACAACACCUACUUAGGUAAAGUGGCCUGGCCUGGGAGCCCUGGUAUCCAUGGGGAAGCCCACUCUCAGAGUUCUGAGAUACCAGGCUUAUAGGAGGCACAGUCUGUGA
rnacentral:sRNA from 1 species